rnacentral:rRNA from 1 species
CCAGACUCCUACGGUAGGCAGCAGUUUUUGAUAUUGCACAAUGGGGGAAACCCUUAUGCAGCUACUCCGCGUGUGGGAAGACGGUCCUCUGUAUUGUAAACCACUUUCCCCGGGGACGAAGAUGACGGUACCUGGGGAGGAAGCUCCGGCUAACUACGUGCCAGCAGCCGCGGUAAUACGUAGGGAGCAAGCGUUGUCCGGAAUUACUGGGUGUAAAGGGAGCGUAGGCGGGAUGGCAAGUUGGGUGUUAAAUCUACCGGCUCAACUGGUAGUCGCACUCAAAACUGCUAUUAUUGAGUGAAGUAGAGGCAGGCGGAAUUCCUAGUGUAGAGGUGAAAUGCGUAGAUAUUAGGAGGAACACCAGUGGAGAAGGCGGCCUGAUGGGCUUUUACUGACGCUGAGGAUCGAAAGUGUGGAGAGCAAACAGGAUUAGAUACCCCGGUAGAC